UUCGGGAUGCCGGCGAGUGGCGAACGGGUGAGUAACGCGUGGAUACCUGCCCUAUGGUGGGGAAUAACGUCUAGAAAUGGACGCUAAUACCGCAUAAGCCCUAUGGGGGAAAGAUUUAUUGCCAUGGGAGGGGUCCGCGUCGGAUUAGCUUGUUGGUGGGGUAACGGCCUACCAAGGCGACGAUCCGUAGCUGGUCUGAGAGGAUGAUCAGCCACACUGGGACUGAGACACGGCCCAGACUCCUACGGGAGGCAGCAGUGGGGAAUAUUGCGCAAUGGGGGAAACCCUGACGCAGCGACGCCGCGUGGGUGAAGAAGGCCUUAGGGUUGUAAAGCCCUUUCAGUGGGAAAGAUGAUGACGGUACCCACAGAAGAAGCUCCGGCUAACUCCGUGCCAGCAGCCGCGGUAAUACGGAGGGGGCUAGCGUUGUUCGGAAUUACUGGGCGUAAAGGGCGCGUAGGCGGUUGAUCAAG
rnacentral:rRNA from 1 species